GGUAAAUGGCUUACAGUAGCCCUACAAAAAUUCCCCGUGUGGACGGAGAAGAAUUUUCCCAAUUGAGAGAUAAGUUCCGCUUAGUAGCAUAUUCGGCAUUGGAUCCUACAACACCCAGGAAUCGGAUCAAGGAGGAGGUCACGGAACUUGGAGUUCUUGUGAUGAGAAAAUUUGGCGGCAUGGAUUCUGAAAUAAAAUUGUUACGAAGAGAUUUGGCCAAAGCAAAACAUAAGAUAGUUAAUAUGGAAACAGAAUUGGAGGCAGCAAGGGCUGCCCAGGAUUUUUUGAGAAACGAUGUCUUUAACCCUGAACACGAAGAUGGUUCCGUUUUGAGAAAUGGUAAAUAACCGAUUUUUUCAUUACAGUGUAAAGUAUUGUUUUUAUAUUGUGAACUUGCAUGCAAUUUCUCUUUGUAAUUAAAAUAUAUGUUUCAUUUUCAGAUGUCGUUAACUCUGAGCAGGAGGAAGAGUCAGUUGAGGGGGCCAUAAUGACUGUGACAGAGGAAUC